CUGCGGCUAAUUAAGCCGACCAGCUCCCUUAUGUCAUGGGUGCUUGGUGUGCAAUGGCUGCAAACGUAAUUCUCCUUGGUAGUGUAUGCUACCUUUUCCUUGUAUGGGUUGCUCUAAGGGACCUUGGAGAUAGUC